rnacentral:rRNA from 1 species
AUAUUUUAGGAAAUAUUUCUUUCUUUUCUUUUUUCUCUCAAAAAUUAUUUUUUUUAGUAAUGUUUGUAAUUUUUAUUGUGCUUGUACUGGUAUGGAAAAUUUUUUAUAGAAUUAGAUUAGUUUAAAAUUUAUACCUUUUGUAUCAUGGUUAUACUAAGUUUUGAUUUUAUUUGUUUUCUAGAAAAUUGAUGAAUAUUUAUUUGGAUGUUUAGCACUUAUACUAUUUUGUUGCAUAAAAAUUUAAAUACUAAUAAAUGGAAAUGAAAUGUUUCGAAUCUUUUAAUAGCUAGUUUUUUACUACAUAUUUCUAAGAAUUGUUUUUAAUUUUAUUCAAAUUAAAAGUUAUUUUUCAAGGGUAAUCUUUGAAAAGGUUAGAAAACUUUUUUCUUUUUUUCUUAAUGGGCUUAGAAAUUGUUUUUUUUAUUAAAUUUGUUAUAAUUUUCUUUCUUUUCUUUUUUCUUCUUUUAGUAAAAUUUUUUUAUAAUUUAAUAUAAAAAUAAAAAAUGUUUAAAUUAGUAUUUAGUGCGAUAAAGUGUAUGGGUAGUUUAAUAUAAAAUAGUAGUAACUCGGCAGAACUAGUUCUUGACUGUUUUCAAAAACAUAGUUUCUUGAAAUUUAUUUAGAAAUACUUUCUGCUCAGUGAUUUUAAAUAGCCGCGGUAUUUUGACUGUGCGAAGGUAGCAUAAUCAUUUGUCUUGUAAUUUAAGACUGGCAUGAAUGAAAUUACAUAGAACUUGCUUUCUUCUAUUUUCUUGUAGAAAUUGUUUUUUACGUGAAGAAACGUAAAUAUAGUAAAGGGACAAGAAGACCCUUUUGAGUUUUAUUUUAUUUUGAUUUUAAAAGUUAAAUUUAAAAUUUGGUUGGGGCGACUAAGGAAGAAAGAAUCUUUUUUUUUUAUUAUAUUUUUGAUCUUUAUUUUUUGAUUGUUAGAUUAAAUUACCAAAGGGAUAACAGCGUAAUUUUUUUUGUGAGUUCUUAUUUAAAAUAAAGAUUGCGACCUCGAUGUUGACUUUUAAUUUUCCUUUUGGUGUAGCAGUUUUCUAGGAGGGUCUGUUCGACCUUUAAAUUUAAACGUGAGUUGAGUUCAGACCGGCGUGAGCCAGGUUGGUUUCUAUCUUUUAUUUUUAUUUUGAAGCUUUUUAGUACGAAAGGACCAGAAGCUUAUAUUUUAUUUUGUU